CAACACCACCCCCCAUACUAUUGUAGAGGUGUUCUUUUCAUGAAAUUCUGCACCCUUUUUUCUCUAAACAUACCUUUACUCAUUGCUGCCAAAAAGUUCUACUUAAAAUGUCAUCAGUCCGCCGCACUUGUUUCCAAAAUGCAAAUUUGUUUAAAUAUUCCUUCUGAUGCUGAAUUCUGUGGUGAGGACACAGGACAGGUUUUCUUCUAAUUACUUUUUCCUGAAGGUCUUCUGCAGUCAGACAGCAUCGUAUGUUAAACUAGCGAUCCUAUGAGCAGUUCUAUCUCAAAGUUUUGGCCUUGGUCUUUCAGACCUCAACAUGACCUCCACCAUUCCUCUUAACUGCCAUUUGUUAAUUACAUUAGGAACUGAGGACAUGGCUGCCUGCACCUUACGAACCUGAACCUUACCACCUUACAACCUUCCCCUGCUUUGUGGGCAUCAAUUAUUUUAAUCUUUCAGAGUUCUAUGCAGUUGCUUAGAGGAGCCCAUGGCUGCUGCUAGGACAAGGUUUGAGGAGUCAGGAUAUUCAUAAAGCUUUGAAAUUUGCAUCACCUGGCCUUUCCUAAUGGUGAUUGUGAACAAGCCAUAGCCCUAACAAGCUAAUUAAGGUCUGAGCGCUCAAAUCUGUUGGGGUGCCCAAACUUUUGCAUGGUGCUGCUUUCAUUUUUUCACUCUAAAAGUGUAUAAAACAAAAAUAACACACUAAUCUUACUUAAAAUGUUGAAAAGAAUGUUCCAUCUUUAACUUUUUUCCUUUUUGGAGAUCAGUUCAUCUCACUUAACUAUUCACAGUAACAGAACAUUUUGACCAGGGGUGCCCAAACCUUUGCAUGCCACUUUGCAUCACGUAAUCUUACUUCAUUAGGGUUGCCAAAGAAGUUGGACAGAAUUGGCUAUGAAAAUGACUGCAAUUUCAUGGAGAAGUGGCAUAGAAAUAUCACAAACCAUCUGUAUUGGUCUGCUACAAGCUCUGAUUCAGAACCAAAGAAGGUAGCCAAAUGGGCAUCUCUCAUGAACCACAAACAUUCACUAACAUUCUGAGUGCCUAAGGCCUGUUCAAGUCGUUUCAACCAGGUGCAUAAUCUAAAUGUGUUAUUUACUAAAACAGUGAUUAACAUUGACCGGGCAUCUUACGUAAAUCCAAUAUUCAUGUGUUCUGUCACUAACAUUAUAUUGAUUUUUCCCCAAGGUUCGACAGGACUGAACAAGUUACAUAAGGUCCUGAUGACCAAGAAAGCCCUUUCUGAUGUGGAGAAGCUGAGCCCACACUACCAGACGUCAAUCGUGGAGUCAUUUCACAGCGCCAUCUUGCCCUUUGCACGCAAACGUGUGGUCUUCCCCUUCACUGGAAUGCUAUACAGGUUGUACCUGGCAGCAACUCACUUCAAUCAGAACGCUGACCGUCCACAAAUGACAACACCGAAAGGGAAACUUGUAUACAAGCUUCUUUUUCCAAAAGCCAAAGAGGGAGGACACUCUGUCAAACCAGUUAAGACAGAUCCAACAAACAAUACUCCAAAUGUAUAAAGGAACAAAUCAAAGGUGCAAAUUAAUAGAAAGACCUUUCCACACUAUGGUCAAAGACUAUGGUCUCAACUUGAUGGCGCAUGUCUUUGAUGAGGUUGCCCUUGACCCCCUCCCUUAUGUGGAUGCCGUCCAGCGGAUGCACUGUCCUGCAGCAUCAGGAAACUCCCUUCGCAGGAUCAUCAUGAUGGGAUGACAACACAUACACUUCGUUCAACGAAACCCCAGCACCAGCUGACAAACCACCUGUAGGCCAAAUGUUUUCAUCGCCUGCAGAGAGAGGAAGAGGAGGAAAGCACAUAUUGAUUGUUUUAGUAUUUCUUUGGUUCCGAGUGUAUUAUUGGGUAAUGUCUGUAUGAUGCUAAGGCAUAAUAAAGGUGUCACAUCA